rnacentral:ncRNA from 2 species
CGGCGUUACCCGGGGUGUCCCGACAAGGGGCUGAGAGUCUGCUGGGCCGUUUUGAAUGGCAGCGCAGUGACCCGUUGAACCUGAUCCAGUUCAUACUGGCGUAGGGACGGUGCGAGCGCUGCGAC